ensembl:lncRNA
GACAUUCCCAUCUGCCUUAGGAGCUAAUUUGUGUUUAGAUCUAAUUACCACCAACAAGACAGAUCAUACUCGCUAACGAUGCAAACCUAAACUGGCAGAAGGUUAAAUUACUGCAAAGAAAAUCAUCAGUUUUAAAGCAAGGAUUUGUAAAAUAGAAUUUCAAGCUACAUAUGACGUUAAUAAAACUGAAGUAACUUUAAUAACACAGCAUAUCACAGCCUCUUGCUCUAUGAUCUGCUCAAACUGUGCAUGUGUGUUUGUGCAUUUGCAUGUGUUUGCAUGUAUGUGAGCAUAUACGCAGUACUUCUUUGUUUUGGUUUCAUUUGAACAGUGACAGGGCCUCACUGCAGCAUUAGUGACUGCAAUGAUAAAAGAGCUUCUCCCUCUGGGACUCUGGUACAUAAUCCAUUCCCAAAAUACCUCAGCUGCAGAGCAUGAUGUACGCAUCUUUCCGCUGAAAUGUAUAUCCAACAUAUGAAGGAAUUGAAAGGAAAAGCCAUUUUAGGCAAUCGUGUUCACUCUUGUAAAAUUACACUGGAACCUUUGUUGUUUUUUACAGAGAGGUUGUUGCCUCUACAUGAAAGUCUGCACAGACAAUUUCUUUUAAGUGAUCAUUGACCUUCUGAUGCCUGUAAUAACAAGUUGGAAGCCUAAUCAGAUAUAUUCAUCAUCAGCUAUGUCACUCUGUAACUGCUUAACUCGAUUGACCUGCAGAUGCUGGAUGAAUUUUGCCAGUGCUGUGGACUUGUGUAAACAGACUCUGUCAGUCCUCGGGCUAGAGCGGUAAACGGUUAGCAAAUUGUGUGUGCAUAUCCAGAUUUGUCUCUUAGCUUGGCUGUGAUUUACUCUGACAGUGAAGGUGUUACUGCUUGUUAGAUCAUAACAGUUUCUCCUGAUGUGCUGUUCAGAUAAGCCAUCCUCAUACUUUUUCAAGGAUCCCUCAAUUUAAAAGAAAAAAGCAUGCAUACCUACUCAAUAAAUUUCACUAAAAUCAAGCAGCAACACAUGCAUUUUUGUGCAGAAAAUACUCAAUGUUAAACUCUGCAAGAGACACAGAUUUCUCCCAUAAUACUGAGAGGAAACUAAACAAUGGCUGAAAGCUUUUCUCAUAGCUGUGGUAAAUUAAUCAAGCUCACUUUUCUGCGGUACAGCAGGCUGCUUGGGUUUCCAGACACACUCUUGUCUUUCCUAUGUGAUAAAAACUACAAAAUAUGAAGUCUCCUCUCUAUGUAGAGUAUGUGGUGUUGUGCUUUGUUUAUGUAAUAAUCCAUUGACUGGAAGUAAAGUUGCAGGUAUGUAGAUUAGCAGCAUGUUUUGCAGCUGCAGUUUUGAUAUACGAUGACCGUAAUCACCAGACAGCAAUGUUCCCUGUAAUUUUUCAUGAGUCUGAGCAAACACACAAACUCCCUGAGCGUCUCUUGGACCACUGUGAGCAACAUCAGAC